rnacentral:lncRNA from 1 species
AACAGUUUUUCAACUGUGAGUCUGAAGCUGGAGGUCAAGACUGAAGGUGUGACUCUGGGACUCUCCCUGGACAAACCCAUCUUUCAAGCUGCCUGCCUUAGAAUAACAUCAAGACAAGGUUGGGAAGAAAUUCUCCAUUCAUUCUGGUGGACAGAGUGAUUUUGGAAAAGAAUUUCUCAUUCCAAGAGUUUCUACGGACUCUUCAACUGGAUUUCUGCUGCUUGACCCACCAAGGACUCUGUGAAUAUUGUUCAGGAGUGUUGGACUUCCCUUCCCUACCUGAAAAGCUAUCAGAAGCAGCUUCAGAUAAUUUGACUAAUAUCCAUUCACUUGUGCUCAAAGGAAUUUGUUUGAGAACUCCUGAAGCUGCUACAGCUUUUGUUGCUCCCGCCUGGUGUCGGUGCUGCUGUUUCAUCCACAUGGGCUCUGGGCCAGCCUCUACCAUGAUGUCACAGAUGAGUGGUCCCUAAAUUUCUAUUAGACUUACUUUGACACCUUGUUAUAGUGAACCUUGAAUUCUUCAAGUUUUUCUAUUGUAGCACAAACUUUCGUACGUACCACCAGCUUAGAAAUGCUUUGUAUAAAAGCCUACUGACAUGCUUUGUGUCUAUUAUCCAAAGACCAAUAUACAUAAAUUCAGAGAUACAUGAAUAGAAUGGAGGGUACCAGGGCAAAGUUUUGGGCCAUAGCAACUAAAGCAGACUAUCUACUUGUGUAAGAAAGGAUGAUAGUCUCUGUCAGGUCAAGGCAUGCCUAGAAAGACUUAAGCAUUAAAUAGGAAAAAGUGAGAUAUUUGACAGUGAUGGAAAUGAAAAGAAAUGGCAAAAAUAAAUUUGUUUUAAAUUGAGGUUAUUCA